rnacentral:rRNA from 1 species
CCUACGGGUGGCAGCAGUAGGGAAUAUUGCUCAAUGGGGGAAACCCUGAAGCAGCAACGCCGCGUGGAGGAUGAAGGUUUUCGGAUUGUAAACUCCUUUUGUUAGAGAAGAUAAUGACGGUAUCUAACGAAUAAGCACCGGCUAACUCCGUGCCAGCAGCCGGGGGAAUACGGAGGGUGCAAGGGUUAUCCGGAAUCACUGGGCGUAAAGAGCGCGUAGGCGGGAUAGCAAGUCAGAUGGGAAAUCCUAGGGCUUAACCAUAGAACUGCAGUUGAAACUGUUAUUCUAGAGUAUGGGAGAGGUAGGUGGAAUGCUUGGUGUAGGGGUAAAAUCCGUAGAGAUCAAGAAGAAUACUCAUUGCGAAGGCGGCCUGCUAGAACAUAACUGACGCUGAUGCGCGAAAGCGUGGGGAGCAAACAGGAUUAGAUACCCGUGUAGUC